GACGUAGGGUGCGAGCGUUGUCCGGAUUUAUUGGGCGUAAAGAGCGUGUAGGCGGUUAGGUAGGUCCGUUGUGAAAACUCGAGGCUCAACCUCGAGACGCCGAUGGAAACCAUCUGACUAGAGUCCGGAAGAGGAGAGUGGAAUUCCUGGUGUAGCGGUGAAAUGCGCAGAUAUCAGGAAGAACACCCGUGGCUAAGGCGGCUCUCUAGUACGGUACUGACGCUGAGACGCGAAAGCGUGGGGAGCGAACAGG
rnacentral:rRNA from 1 species